rnacentral:rRNA from 1 species
GGUGGCAAUGGCGGAGGGGCCACACCCGUUCCCAUUCCGAACACGGUCGUUAAGCCCUCCAGCGCCGAUGGUACUGCCCUCGAGAGGGGGUGGGAGAGUAGGUCGCCGCC